AAAUCUGAAAUCCACUUUCUUUUUUCAUAUAGUUUUUAAGUGGAAAAUCCAAAGUCCAUAUUUGGAUUCGAAUUUGUUCGAAAGCCCAUUGGUCGGACAUCGUCUUCACUCUCUCAAUCACUAUUCCAUCGAGGCAUCUACCCAUCGUUCUUUGCUUUCUCAAUCCCUCCCAAUCAAUUGCUGAAAGUUUGAAUUGCUCAAAUCAUAGUUGCAAAUCUCUAAAGAAUCGUACUUUCUCAAUUGCUCUCAUCUCAAUCGGUAGCGUUGAGGUUGGUGAAAGACAAGCGUUAUAUUGUUGGUUGCGUAGGAUACAUAUGAGUGAAGCUGAUGGGCCAUUUGAUGGAUGGAUGGACUCUUGGAUUUCAAUGUUGCUUUUAAAAUUUAAUAAAUAUAGUUUCAGUAUUUUUUUUAUGGAAUAAUACUAUGAACAAUGAGGAUUAGAUGGAUGAAUUGUUCCAAAUCACAUUUGGUUUGAUUUAUUACUUCAAGGAUACGUAGUUGUUAUUGUGCUUCAACCUUCAGACUUCAAAUUGUUUGUUGUUUUGAGAGUUUAUAUUACAUUUUAUUUUAAUAA